rnacentral:rRNA from 1 species
AGCAGCCGCGGUAAUUCCAGCUCCAAUAGCGUAUAUUAAAGUUGUUGCAGUUAAAAAGCUCGUAGUUGAAUUUCGGGAUCAGUACGCUGGUCGUGCCUUUGGUAUGUACUGGUGUCACUGAUUCCUCCCUUCUGAAGAACCGUUGUGCCAUUUAUUUGGUGUGGCGGGAAAUCAGGACUGUUACUUUGAAAAAUUAGAGUGUUUAAAGCAGGCUCGCGCUUGAAUACAUUAGCAUGGAAUAAUGAAAUAGGACGUUUGAUCUUAUUUUGUUGGUUUCUAGGAUCGACGUAAUGAUUAAUAGGGAUAGUUGGGGGCAUUAGUAUUCAAUUGUCAGAGGUGAAAUUCUUGGAUUUAUUGAAGACUAACUACUGCGAAAGCAUUUGCCAGGGAUGUUUUCAUUAAUCAAGAACGAAAGUUAGGGGAUCGAAGACGAUCAGAUACCGUCGUAGU